rnacentral:rRNA from 1 species
UCCAGGUUCAAGUGCGUAGGCUUGAGAGUUAGGUAAAUCCGGCUCUCUUUAAGGCUGAGACACGACGUCGAGCACCUACGGGUGUGAAGUCAUUGAUGCCAUGCUUCCAGGAAAAGCCUCUAAGCUUCAGAUUGUAAGGAAUCGUACCCCAAACCGACACAGGUGGUCGGGUAGAGAAUACCAAGGCGCUUGAGAGAACUCGGGUGAAGGAACUAGGCAAAAUGGUACCGUAACUUCGGGAGAAGGUACGCUCUUGAUGGUGAAGUCCCUUGCGGAUGGAGCUGACGAGAGUCGCAGAUACCAGGUGGCUGCAACUGUUUAUUAAAAACACAGCACUGUGCAAAAUCGUAAGAUGACGUAUACGGUGUGACGCCUGCCCGGUGCCGGAAGGUUAAUUGAUGGGGUUAGACUUCGGUCGAAGCUCUUGAUCGAAGCCCCGGUAAACGGCGGCCGUAACUAUAACGGUCCUAAGGUAGCGAAAUUCCUUGUCGGGUAAGUUCCGACCUGCACGAAUGGCGUAAUGAUGGCCACGCUGUCUCCACCCGAGACUCAGUGAAAUUGAAAUCGCUGUGAAGAUGCAGUGUACCCGCGGCUAGACGGAAAGACCCCGUGAACCUUUACUACAGCUUGGCACUGAACAUUGACCCUACAUGUGUAGGAUAGGUGGGAGGCUUUGAAGCACGUACGCCAGUAUGUGUGGAGCCGUCCUUGAAAUACCACCCUUGUAGUGUUGAUGUUCUAACGUUGACCCCUUAUCGGGGUUGCGGACAGUGCCUGGUGGGUAGUUUGACUGGGGCGGUCUCCUCCCAAAGAGUAACGGAGGAGCACGAAGGUGGGCUAAUCACGGUUGGACAUCGUGAGGUUAGUGCAAUGGCAUAAGCCCGCUUGACUGCGAGAAUGACAAUUCGAGCAGGUGCGAAAGCAGGUCAUAGUGAUCCGGUGGUUCUGAAUGGAAGGGCCAUCGCUCAACGGAUAAAAGGUACUCCGGGGAUAACAGGCUGAUACCGCCCAAGAGUUCAUAUCGACGGCGGUGUUUGGCACCUCGAUGUCGGCUCAUCACAUCCUGGGGCUGAAGUCGGUCCCAAGGGUAUGGCUGUUCGCCAUUUAAAGUGGUACGCGAGCUGGGUUUAGAACGUCGUGAGACAGUUCGGUCCCUAUCUGCCGUGGGCGUUGGAAGAUUGAAGGGGGCUGCUCCUAGUACGAGAGGACCGGAGUGGACGAACCUCUGGUGUUCGGGUUGUGUCGCCAGACGCAUUGCCCGGUAGCUAAGUUCGGAAUCGAUAACCGCUGAAAGCAUCUAAGCGGGAAGCGAGCCCUGAGAUGAGUCUUCCCUGAUACUUUAAGUAUCCUAAAGGGUUGUCGGAGACUACGACGUUGAUAGGUCAGGUGUGUAAGUGCUGUGAGGCAUUGAGCUAACUGAUACUAAUUGCCCGUGAGGCUUAACCAUACAACACC